rnacentral:tRNA from 1 species
GGGCCAUUAGUUCAGUUUGGUAGAACGCCUGCCUUGCACGCAGGAUGUCAAGGGUUCAAAUCCCUUAUGUGUCCA